UCUGGUACCUUUGGUGCCCGAGUUGUAAUUUGGAGAGUACCACUUUGGGACUGUACUUUGCCUAUGUUCCUUGGAACAGGACGUCAUGGAGGGUGAGAAUCCCGUGUGGCGAGGGUGUCAGUUCUUUGUAAAGGGUGCUCGAAGAGUCGAGUUGUUUGGGAAUGCAGCUCUAAGUGGGUGGUAAAUUCCAUCUAAAGCUAAAUACAGGCGAGAGACCGAUAGCGAACAAGUACAGUGAUGGAAAGAUGAAAAGAACUUUGAAAAGAGAGUGAAAAAGUACGUGAAAUUGUUGAAAGGGAAGGGCAUUUGAUCAGACAUGGUGUUUUGCGCCCCUUGCCUCUCGUGGGCUUGGGACUCUCGCAGCUCACUGGGCCAGCAUCGGUUUUGGCGGCCGGAAAAAACCUAGGGAAUGUGGCUCUGCGCCUCGGUGUAGAGUGUUAUAGCCCUGGGGAAUACGGCCAGCCGGGACCGAGGACUGCGAUACUUGUUAUCUAGGAUGCUGGCAUAAUGGUUAUAUGCCGCCCGUCUUGAAACACGGAC
rnacentral:rRNA from 1 species